GCCCGAGUAGUUCAACGGCAGAACGGAUCCAUGGUAAGGAUUAAACAGGAGUUCGACUCUCCUCUCGGGCU
rnacentral:tRNA from 1 species